UGAUGUCUAAACCCUCAGUACCACAGAAUGUGAUCUUAAUUGGAAAUAUAGUCAUUGCAGAUGUAAUUAGUGAAGUUAAGAUAAGGUCAUACUGCAGUAAAGUUUGAGUUUAAUCCAAUUUGACUGAUGUCCUUACAGGAAGAAGGUGUGAUGACAUAGAUUCCCGGGGACAAUGCCAAGUGAUGACAGACACAGACACUGGAGUGAUACAGUACAAGCCCAGGAACACUAAGGAUCCAUGACCACCAUCAGAAGCCACAAAGAUGCAAGGAAGGAUUCUCCCCUACAUGUUUCAGCGGAAGCAUGUUUCUGUGGCCACAUUCAUUUCAGAGUUCUAGCUUCCACAAGUAGCUGCACAAGAGCUGGAAGCAGAGACAAUGGCCCAUUUCUCCUGGAGUUACAUGACUGUGCUCUACGAAAACAUGCUGUGCAGGAUGUGGGAUUUCUGCACAUGGAAAAAGUAUACGUAGAGGAAAAAAUUAGCCUUUCAUGUACUCCAGUGCUUCAGAUGCUGAAAUAAUUUAUUUUUAAAGAGAAUUUAUAAAAUAAUACAACAUUAAAAAUGAAGAUAAAUUUAUUGAGUUAUUCUUUAUCACAUUAUUGCUCAUGGGAACUUGGUUUAGGUCAUGGCCAUACAAAAUAUCAGAGUUUAUUCAUUGCUCUCAGGAAAAAAAUGUAGAAGUCAAGCUUGUUCAUGUCACUAAGUGAUAGAAAUUAUCCUGUUUGAUCCCAGUCUUUUGUCACACUUAAAAGAGAUAAAGAACUUCUAUAAAUUCCUGAAAUAAAACAAAUUGCUCAAAAAGCUUAAAAUUAAAAAGAACUUAACAGAAACUUAAACAUUUUCAAAAUGUUAAUAGAAGGAUCUCUGGGAAGAUGACGGAGUAGGAAUCAUCAGGAAUCUUUCUCCUUACCUAAACAAAACAUGGCAGUGUCAAAAUCUGUCUAAUAUAACUAUUUUUGAGUUCUAGAGUCAAUUGAAGGCUUGCAACAUCCCAGGGAAGACUUGGAUGGUAAUUUAUAAUUAAUUUUGGUUAAUUGCAAAGUUUAGCACAGUAUCAUCUAUCCAUCCCCCAUCCCUACCUAGUCCCAUAGCAGCCAGCUGUGCACAUGUUUCUGAUGCGGCCUGUACACAAUUUGCAGGAGCCAGGGUGUGCAAAAAGGACCGUGCUCUUUACUAUAUGGAAACUGUGCUCUGGUCACUAAUUUCAGCUGUUGGCCACAGGGAUGCCAAACAAAAGAUGUGGGCAGACACUGUUCUUGAAGUAAUACACAUUAUUGAAAACCUAUUAUCUUCCAACUAAAGUGAAUUCCAGGUGAUUUAAAAGACCUUCAUUCUUUGUCCCCUUCAUUUUUACCUUUUCCCUUUUGGGAAGAUAAAGACUAAGACAUUCAAAAGCAACUGUAUAUAUGAGGAAAACUAGAAAAUGACUGUGCAUGCCCAGGAAAAGGUUUAGAAUCAGAAAAGACCUGAGAAAACUUUAGAUUUGCACCUUAGGCUGAUCCUUGACACAGAGACAGUCCACAGCAAUCACACCCCACAAAAACAGUAGAGAAAAAAAAAAAAAAACACUAAUAAAUCCUGGAGAAAUAAGGGAAAUCUGACUUCCAGGGUUACCACAUUAAAUCUAAUAAAGAUUCAAGUAAUUUACCCUACAAGAAAGAUUCAAAUAAUUCAAUAGUAAUAAAGGAUUUAGUAAUAAUAAUGUAAUAAAGAUUCACAUGUUUGUUGAGAUAAGGCAGAACAACACUGUAGAAUAGAAGAUUGUAUAUCUAGAAGACCCCAUCGUCUCAGCCCAAAAUCUCCUGAAACUAAUAAGCAACUUCAGCAAAGUCUCAGGAUACAAAAUCAAUGUACAGAAAUCACAAGCAUUCGUCUACACCAAUAACAGACUUAAACAGAGCCAAAUCAAGAACUAACUGCCAUUCACAAUUGCUACAAAGAGAAUAAAAUACCUAGGAAUACAACUAACAAGGAACGUAAGGGACCUCUUCAAGGAGAACUACAAACCACUGCUCAACCAAAUAAGAGAGGACACA
ensembl:lncRNA